AUUGAACGCUGGCGGCAUGCCUUACACAUGCAAGUCGAACGGUAACAGGUCUUCGGAUGCUGACGAGCGGCGAACGGGCGGGUAAUACAUACGUACGUGCCCGAUCGUGGGGGAUAACGGAGCGAAAGCUAUGCUAAUACAGCAUACGAUCUACGGACGAAAGCAAGGGACCGCACUGCCUUGCUCGGGCGGUGCGGCUGAUGGCGGGUUAGGUAGCUGGUGGGAUAAAAGCAUACCAAGCCGACGAUCUGUAGCUGGUCUGAGAGGACGACCAGCCACACUGGGACUGAGACACGGCCCAGACUCCUACGGGAGGCAGCAGUGGGGAAUUUUGGACAAUGGGCGAAAGCCUGAUCCAGCAAUGCCGCGUGUGGGAUGAAGGCCUUCGGGUUGUAAACAGCUUUUGUACGGAAAGAAAUGAUUGGGCCUAAUACGGAGGGUGGAUGACGGUACCGGAAGAAUAAGCACCGGCUAACUACGUG
rnacentral:rRNA from 1 species